AUUGAACGCUGGCGGCAGGCCUAACACAUGCAAGUCGAACGAGUGGCGGACGGGUGAGUAAUGUAUGGGAAACUGCCUGAUAGAGGGGGAUAACUACUGGAAACGUUGGCUAAUACCGCAUAUUAUUCGAUGUGCCAAUAUCGGAUUAGCUAGUUGGUGGGGUAAAGGCUCACCAAGGCGACGAUCCCUAGCUGGUCUGAGAGGAUGAUCAGCCACACUGUGACUGAGACACGGCCCAGACUCCUACGGGAGGCAGCAGUGGGGAAUAUUGCACAAUGGGCGCAAGCCUGAUGCAGCCAUGCCGCGUGUAUGAAGAAGGCCUUCGGGUUGUAAAGUACUUUCAGCGGGGAAGCGUUACCCGCAGAAUAAGCACCGGCUAACUACGUGCCAGCAGCCGCGGUAAUUC
rnacentral:rRNA from 1 species